rnacentral:tRNA from 1 species
CGGGGCGUGGCGCAGUUUGGUUUAGCGCACUAGCAUGGGGGGCUAGGGGUCGGCCGUUCGAAUCGGCUCGCCCCGA